rnacentral:misc_RNA from 1 species
GAUGAAGAACGUAGCGAAAUGCGAUAAGUAAUGUGAAUUGCAGAAUUCAGUGAAUCAUCGAAUCUUUGAACGCUCAUUGCGCCCCCCGGCAUUCCGGGGAGCAUGCCUGUUCGAGCGUCUCUUGGAAUACCCCUCACGCCGGCGGGGGCGUGGUCAUGGCGGCGGUGGCGUGCCCCGAGAGGGAGGCCACCGCGCUGGAAUCCAUGGGCGGACGCCUGCCGCGUGGCCGAGCGUGAUAAGACGCACUGGCGCUCGCGCGCGGCGAGGCUGCCGGCCCUGGCCCGCUCGUCGGGCGGGGACAGCAACACUUGGGAACUCCUCGAAUCAGGUAGGGAUACCCGCUGAACUUAAGCAUAUCAAUAAGCGGAGGA